UUCGCUUCUUUGGAGGCAACAGCUGCACUUAAAACAACGGUAUCGCCAUAGCGUACCAAAACAGCUCCAUUGGCUUGUUUGGCUAAUUGGCCAACUUCGAUAGAUAAUGGGCGGCCACCCCAAGUGGUUGAAAAUACUUGUUUUGUCAUUUUCCAUUUCCUUUCUCACUGGGGAUUACUUGCUACUAAACAAAGGAAAAAUUAGCAUACUUCCUAGCCUUUCCUUUGGUUAGUAGUAAGCG
rnacentral:ncRNA from 1 species